rnacentral:rRNA from 1 species
GAUGAACGCUGGCGGCGUGCCUAAUACAUGCAAGUCGAGCGAACGGACGAGAAGCUUGCUUCUCUGAUGUUAGCGGCGGACGGGUGAGUAACACGUGGAUAACCUACCUAUAAGACUGGGAUAACUUCGGGAAACCGGAGCUAAUACCGGAUAAUAUUUUGAACCGCAUGGUUCAAAAGUGAAAGACGGUCUUGCUGUCACUUAUAGAUGGAUCCGCGCUGCACUAGCUAGUUGGUAAGGUAACGGCUUACCAAGGCAACGAUGCAUAGCCGACCUGAGAGGGUGAUCGGCCACACUGGAACUGAGACACGGUCCAGACUCCUACGGGAGGCAGCAGUAGGGAAUCUUCCGCAAUGGGCGAAAGCCUGACGGAGCAACGCCGCGCGAGUGAUGAAGGUCUUCGGAUCGUAAAACUCUGUUAUUAGGGAAGAACAUAUGUGUAAGUAACUGUGCACAUCUUGACGGUACCUAAUCAGAAAGCCACGGCUAACUACGUGCCAGCAGCCGCGGUAAUACGUAGGUGGCAAGCGUUAUCCGGAAUUAUUGGGCGUAAAGCGCGCGUAGGCGGUUUUUUAAGUCUGAUGUGAAAGCCCACGGCUCAACCGUGGAGGGUCAUUGGAAACUGGAAAACUUGAGUGCAGAAGAGGAAAGUGGAAUUCCAUGUGUAGCGGUGAAAUGCGCAGAGAUAUGGAGGAACACCAGUGGCGAAGGCGACUUUCUGGUCUGUAACUGACGCUGAUGUGCGAAAGCGUGGGGAUCAAACAGGAUUAGAUACCCUGGUAGUCCACGCCGUAAACGAUGAGUGCUAAGUGUUAGGGGGUUUCCGCCCCUUAGUGCUGCAGCUAACGCAUUAAGCACUCCGCCUGGGGAGUACGACCGCAAGGUUGAAACUCAAAGGAAUUGACGGGGACCCGCACAAGCGGUGGAGCAUGUGGUUUAAUUCGAAGCAACGCGAAGAACCUUACCAAAUCUUGACAUCCUUUGACAACACUAGAGAUAGAGCCUUCCCCUUCGGGGGACAAAGUGACAGGUGGUGCAUGGUUGUCGUCAGCUCGUGUCGUGAGAUGUUGGGUUAAGUCCCGCAACGAGCGCAACCCUUAAGCUUAGUUGCCAUCAUUAAGUUGGGCACUCUAAGUUGACUGCCGGUGACAAACCGGAGGAAGGUGGGGAUGACGUCAAAUCAUCAUGCCCCUUAUGAUUUGGGCUACACACGUGCUACAAUGGACAAUACAAAGGGCAGCGAAACCGCGAGGUCAAGCAAAUCCCAUAAAGUUGUUCUCAGUUCGGAUUGUAGUCUGCAACUCGACUACAUGAAGCUGGAAUCGCUAGUAAUCGUAGAUCAGCAUGCUACGGUGAAUACGUUCCCGGGUCU